rnacentral:rRNA from 1 species
CAGCCGUAAACGAUGCGCGUUAGGUGUAUCGACGACCACGAGUCGUCGAGGUGCCGAAGGGAAACCGUGAAACGUGCCGCCUGGGAAGUACGGUCGCAAGGCUGAAACUUAAAGGAAUUGGCGGGGGAGCACAACAACGGGUGGAGCCUGCGGUUUAAUUGGACUCAACGCCGGACAACUCACCGGGGACGACAGCAAUAUGUAGGCCAGGCUGAAGACCUUGCCUGAAUCGCUGAGAGGAGGUGCAUGGCGUAGACGUCU